UGUUUGAUGUUCUAACGUGGACCCGUGAUCCGGGUUGCGGACAGUGUCUGGUGGGUAGUUUGACUGGGGCGGUCUCCUCCUAAAGAGUAACGGAGGAGCACGAAGGUUGGCUAAUCCUGGUCGGACAUCAGGAGGUUAGUGCAAUGGCAUAAGCCAGCUUGACUGCGAGCGUGACGGCGCGAGCAGGUGCGAAAGCAGGUCAUAGUGAUCCGGUGGUUCUGAAUGGAAGGGCCAUCGCUCAACGGAUAAAAGGUACUCCGGGGAUAACAGGCUGAUACCGCCCAAGAGUUCAUAUCGACGGCGGUGUUUGGCACCUCGAUGUCGGCUCAUCACAUCCUGGGGCUGAAGUAGGUCCCAAGGGUAUGGCUGUUCGCCAUUUAAAGUGGUACGCGAGCUGGGUUUAGAACGUCGUGAGACAGUUCGGUCCCUAUCUGCCGUGGGCGCUGGAGAACUGAGGGGGGCUGCUCCUAGUACGAGAGGACCGGAGUGGACGCAUCACUGGUGUUCGGGUUGUCAUGCCAAUGGCACUGCCCGGUAGCUAAAUGCGGAAGAGAUAAGUGCUGAAAGCAUCUAAGCACGAAACUUGCCCCGAGAUGAGUUCUCCCUGACUCCUUGAGAGUCCUGAAGGAACGUUGAAGACGACGACGUUGAUAGGCCGGGUGUGUAAGCGCAGCGAUGCGUUGAGCUAACCGGUACUAAUGAACCGUGAGG
rnacentral:rRNA from 1 species